rnacentral:rRNA from 1 species
CUUGCGUUAUUCGAGCGGCCGAUAUCUGAUUAGCUAGUUGGUGGGGUAAAGGCCUACCAAGGCGACGAUCAGUAGCGGGUCUGAGAGGAUGAUCCGCCACACUGGGACCGAGACACGGCCCAGACUCCUACGGGAGGCAGCAGUGGGGAAUUUUGGACAAUGGGCGCAAGCCUGAUCCAGCCAUGCCGCGUGUCUGAAGAAGGCCUUCGGGUUGUAAAGGACUUUUGUCAGGGAAGAAAAAGCUGUUGCUAAUAUCGACAGCUGAUGACGGUACCUGAAGAAUAAGCACCGGCUAACUACGUGCCAGCAGCCGCGGUAAUACGUAGGGUGCGAGCGUUAAUCGGAAUUACUGGGCGUAAAGCGAGCGCAGACGGUUACUUAAGCAGGAUGUGAAAUCCCCGGGCUCAACCUGGGAACUGCGUUCUGAACUGGGUGACUAGAGUGUGUCAGAGGGAGGUAGAAUUCCACGUGUAGCAGUGAAAUGCGUAGAGAUGUGGAGGAAUACCGAUGGCGAAGGCAGCCUCCUGGGAUAACACUGACGUUCAUGCUCGAAAGCGUGGGUAGCAAACAGGAUUAGAUACCCUGGUAGUCCACGCCCUAAACGAUGUCAAUUAGCUGUUGGGCAACUUGAUUGCUUAGUAGCGUAGCUAACGCGUGAAAUUGACCGCCUG